rnacentral:tRNA from 1 species
GCCGAAAUAGCUCAGUUGGGGAAAAGCGUUAGACUGAACAUCUAAAGGUCCCUGGUUCGAUCCGGGUUUUCGGCA